rnacentral:rRNA from 1 species
UCGACCUGAGUUCAGGCAAGGGCACCCGCUGAAUUUAAGCAUAU